rnacentral:rRNA from 1 species
UACGGAGGGUGCUAGCGUUGCUCGGAAUUACUGGGCGUAAAGCGCGUGUAGGCGGCCGAUUAAGUCUGGUGUGAAAGCCCGGGGCUCACCCCCGGAAGUGCGCUGGAAACUGGUCGGCUAGAGUAUGGGAGAGGAAAGUGGAAUUCCCGGUGUAGCGGUGAAAUGCGUAGAUAUCAGGAGGAACACCGGUGGCGAAGGCGGUUCUCUGGGCAUUACCUGACGCUGAGGAGCGAAAGUGUGGGGAGCGAACAGG